CUGCAUUCCGCAAUCUUCGAAGCCAUCAAAUUUUCUAACUCCAAACGGAUAGUCAGAGUCGUCGAGUCCGAUCCAUAAUAUCUCUCCCUCGAGUCUCAACGAGAAGUGAGAUGAAAGAUGAGAGGAAGACUCCGGCAUCUAGCUGUCGUCCUGGCGCUUCUGAUACUCUUCGGAGCUUCACGUAGAACCUCCGUAGACGGAGAAGAUUUCAGCGGAGACUACUCGAAGCUAUCGGGCAUAAUAAUUCCUGGUUUCGCGUCGACUCAGCUCAGAGCUUGGUCUUUCCUCGAUUGUCCUUAUUCUCCUCUCGAUUUUAACCCUCUCGACCUCGUCUGGCUCGACACAACGAAACUUCUUUCUGCUGUAAAUUGUUGGCUCAAGUGUUUGCUUCUUGAUCCUUACAAUCAAACAGACCAUCCUGAAUGCAAGUCGCGGCCUGAUAGUGGUCUUUCUGCGAUUACAGAACUUGAUCCUGGUUAUAUAACAGGUCCUCUUUCUUCAAUUUGGAAAGAAUGGAUUAAGUGGUGCAUUGAAUUUGGUAUUGAAGCUAAUGCAAUUAUUGCUGUUCCAUAUGACUGGAGAUUGGCGCCAGCAAUGCUUGAGGAUCGAGACCUUUAUUUUCACAGACUCAAAUUGACAUUUGAAACUGCUCUUAAACUUCGUGGUGGACCCUCAAUUGUGUUUGCCCAUUCCUUGGGGAACCAUGUCUUCCGCUACUUUCUGGAAUGGUUAAGGCUAGAACUUGCUCCAAAGCAUUAUAAUCAAUGGCUGGAUGAUCAUAUUCAUGCCUAUUUUGCUGUUGGAGCUCCUCUUCUUGGUGCAACUGAGACGGUCAAAGCAACACUGUUCGGAAACACAUUUGGUCUUCCCGUUUCUGAGGGUACAGCUCGAUUGAUGUUCAAUUCUUUUGCUUCCUCAUUAUGGAUGCUACCAUUUUCGAAGUAUUGUACAGCUGAGAGUCCAUAUUGGAGGCAUUUCUCUAGGGCAUCCGGGAAAAGUCAUCAGACUUAUCAAUGUGAAGAACGUGAAUUUCGCUCUAAUUACUCUGGAUGGCCAACGAAUAUAGUCAACAUUGAAAUCCCUUUUACCCGUGAAUUUGAUGCCUAUCCAUCAGUUACAGAAAUAGCGCAGACCAACUUGUCUAGCAUGGAAUGUGGACUUCCUACUCAGUUAUCUUUUUCAGCUCGUGAAAUAUCAGAUGGGACAUUUUUCAAAGCAAUAGAGGACUAUGAUUCUGAUAACAAGAGACUCUUAUACCAACUACAGAAGUCAUAUCAUGGGGAUCCUGUUCUGAAUCCACUUACACCUUGGGAUAGACCACCUAUUAAAAACGUUUUCUGCAUCUAUGGAGUUGAUUUGAAGACUGAGGUUGGUUACUAUUUUGCACCAAGUGGCAAGCCUUACCCUGACAAUUGGAUCAUAACAGAUGUCAUUUAUGAGCUUGAAGGAUCUCUGGUCUCAAGGUCAGGGAAUCUGGUCGAGGGGAAUCCUGGAGCUGCAAGUGGGGAUGAAACUGUACCAUAUAAUUCUCUCUCUCUGUGCAAGAACUGGCUUGGACCUAAAGUUAACAUAACAAGAGCUCCCCAGUCAGAGCAUGAUGGGUCAGACGUACAGGUAGAACUGAAUGUAGAACAUCAGCAUGAAGCAGAUAUAGUUCCCAACAUGACAAGGUCUCCAAGGGUAAAAUACAUUACAUAUUAUGAGGAUUCUGAAAGCAUUCCACGAAAGAGAACAGCAGUUUGGGAGAUUGAUAAAGAUUGCAUAUGGUUAGCAGCAAGGAUUGAUUUCUUGCAAAUUAAAUUGAAGUUAUCGUCAUGUAGCAAAUCACAGGAACAUCGUUAGAUCCCCUGUUCUAAUGCGAGAGUUGUGGCUCCAGAUGUGGCAUGAUAUCCAUCCUAAUAAAAAAUCAGAAUUUGUUACAAAAGCUAAGCGUGGACCUUUGAGGGAUGAUGACUGCUAUUGGGACUAUGGGAAGGCUCGUUGUGCGUGGCCUGAAUACUGUGAAUAUAGGUACCUUUUUGGGGAUGUUCACCUAGGACAGAGUUGUAGGUUGAAGAAUUCUUCAGCUGAUACGCUUUUGCAUUACCUAUAGAUUAGAAGGGAUCAACCUUUUCUGUUGCCUCAGUUGCUGGUAUUGGGCAUUGUUCCACUCUUUACAACUUCUGGAAUUCAAGCUUUUUGUCAUUCCAUAAUGAGACAGAGAAUGGCUGCCGGCCUUCGUCUCUGUUGAAAUUCUAACUCGGCAUCUCCACUUCCUCCUUUUUGCUGCUCAUGCCAUGUCUUCUCUCGUCAGCCAAGUGCCUUCCUUCUGUCCUACUGUUUGAAACUCUGGCAUAGCUUAUAUUUCCUGGUAGUUUCUGAUGAGCACAUCCUUGAGUUUGAACCAUCGCAGCGCCAAACAUAGAUCGCUGACUUAAUGUACUUGCACUGACAUGUUUUAGUUUAGUAGAUGCUCAUUGAGGAGUGCGUUUUCAAGGAGUCUUAAACAUCAAGCAAAGAUGGGACCUACAGGCUAUUACUGUUUGUGCAAGAUAUAGUUGAUGAAGUGGUAAAUCAAAAAAGAUAAAUAUGGAUGGCCUGGCCUUUAUUAUAAUUUGAAGCAUGUUUACUGAAUAGUUGCUGAAUC